rnacentral:rRNA from 1 species
UACGUAGGGUGCAAGCGUUGUCCGGAAUUAUUGGGCGUAAAGAGCUCGUAGGCGGCUUGUCGCGUCGGCUGUGAAAACCCGGGGCUCAACCCCGGGCCUGCAGUCGAUACGGGCGGACUAGAGUUCGGCAGGGGAGACUGGAAUUCCUGGUGUAGCGGUGAAAUGCGCAGAUAUCAGGAGGAACACCGGUGGCGAAGGCGGGUCUCUGGGCCGAUACUGACGCUGAGGAGCGAAAGCGUGGGGAGCGAACAGG